GUGCUCGCUUUGGCAGCAUAUAUCCUAAAAUUGGAACCACACAGAGAAGAUUAGAAUAGUUCCUGCUUAAGGCUGGCCAAAAAAAAAAAAAAAAAGAAAAAAAAAAG
rnacentral:snRNA from 1 species